rnacentral:rRNA from 1 species
AACGAACGCUGGCGGCAGGCUUAACACAUGCAAGUCGAGCGCCCCGCAGGGGGAGCGGCAGACGGGUGAGUAACGCGUGGGAAUCUACCCAUCUCUACGGAAUAACGCAUGGAAACGUGUGCUAAUACCGUAUACGUCCUUCGGGAGAAAGGUUUAUCGGAGAUGGAUGAGCCCGCGUUGGAUUAGCUAGUUGGUAGGGUAAAGGCCUACCAAGGCGACGAUCCAUAGCUGGUCUGAGAGGAUGAUCAGCCACACUGGGACUGAGACACGGCCCAGACUCCUACGGGAGGCAGCAGUGGGGAAUAUUGGACAAUGGGCGCAAGCCUGAUCCAGCCAUGCCGCGUGAGUGAUGAAGGCCCUAGGGUUGUAAAGCUCUUUCACCGGUGAAGAUAAUGACGGUAACCGGAGAAGAAGCCCCGGCUAACUUCGUGCCAGCCGCCGCAGUAACAC